UGCUAAGCAAACACUACCACUAAGCUACAUCCCAGCCCUACAAUACUAACUUUGAUAUUAUGUGUUUUACUACAAUUUAAGAAAAAAAAAAAAAAAAAAAAAUAUAUAUAUAUAUAUAUAUAAAUAAUUAUAACUGUCUCAGGGGCUAUUAUUUGUCUUUUCUGUCUUCUUAUUCAAUCCCCUAUUGUUGAAUGACUCCACACCCCCAGGAACAGGAAGAGCCAAGUCCAAGAGCAAAGGAGUAUGGGGCAGCAAAACAUCUACAACUGCUGCUAGGCCAGCACUUCCACCUAAUGAAGGCUUGUCUGUUUCCACACCGUCCCCAAACACACCUGGUCCGGCCUUCUUCUGUGACAUCACACUUCAACAGCUGCUGCCUUUGGCCUACAAGCUCAAGUUCUAAGCCCUUGAGCCAGAAUUCAAGGCGCCCCCAUCUGCCCCACUCCAAUUCCCAACUGCCCUCUUUCCACCCGCCCUACAAACUGUUCCAACUGCCCAGCCAGUUCCCAGCCUUCCGAAGACGCCUUGCAGUCUCCCUCUCCUGGGACAAAUGUAAGACGAAUACUCCAAGAAGAACUAAAUGCAGAAAAAUUAUCACUUCAAACACUUAGACCCAAGUACAGUCCUUCCUACCAAAGGGGAAUGGCCAGUCUGAUCUUCUAAAUUACUUGCUCUGAUUAAGCAUGGUUUCACCAAAAACAAAAAAACAAAAAAAAAAAAAACUCUUUUGAGCAGUUGUAGAAGUGACUCUAUACAAAGGGCUCUGCCUUAAUUCUCCCAACAACCCCAUGAGACCCUUGUUAUUACUGCACUUUGAAGAUGAACGAACAGACAAAGACCAGCCUGGAACAGGGCUCCAUACUUGGGUCUCUAAGAUUUCAAAGCCCUCCCUGAAACACAAAGCUCUGAUUGUUCCCAUUUUCUCAUUUUCUUUUUUGAGACAGCGUUUUGCUAAGUUGCCCAGGCUGGCCUCGAACCCUUGAUCCUCCUGCCUCAGCCUUCAGAGUGCUGGGAUUACAGAUGUGGGCCACCACACCCAACCGAUUGUUUCCAUUUUCAUGAAUGAGUGCAGUGAGGCCUCCUUUCAUAGAGAAUGAGCUGUUCCACAUAAGUAAACAUUUCAGAUAGUUAAAACCAAUCCUUUGAAAGCCAAUCUUCUUAAAUUUUUUUUAUUUUUUUUGAACCGGGGAUCGAACUCUGGUCCUUGCGCUUGCGCAGCAGGUGGGGAAACCACUGAGCUAAAUCCCUGGCCCCUUAAAUUUUUAAUUCAUUUGAAAUGGAAUUUUCUAAUAUACAGUGUAUGGUUCCGUGGCUUACAAAAGAGAAACAUCUGUGGAAAUGUGCAGAGGAGUGAUUCUGGGCAGGCCGGAAUUCCAGCCUUCAGGUCCUCAGAGAUGCCAGGGAAGGGUAUCUGGUGAGCUAAGCCUGCCACUUGUCACCUAUGGUCACUGUCCAGGGGCAGCUGCCAGAAGGAAGGUCAACAGGGGGCCUUAGUGUAGGUGGUUUGGUAAAACCCACAAUGGAAUAAAAGAAAGCACUAGAAAGGUUUUCAGUCACCAUGGAUUGAAAAUAUCCAUGGUUCCAGAAGUAAAGUCAGGGGCAGAGGUGUGGCUCAGUGGCAGAGCUUGCCUAGCACAUGGGAGGCCCAAGAAUCUAUUCCCCAGCACUGCAGAAAAAAAAAAAAAAAGGCAAACAGCUUGGCAUGGUCAUAGUGCACACCUGUAAUUCCAGUCCUAAGGAGGCUGAGGCAGGAGAUCAGUACAAAUUCAAGGCCAGUCCGGGCUACACGGCAAAACCCUGUCUCAAAAAGAAACAAAACAACAGUAAAAACAUUACAAGAUUUUGCAUAUAUAUCAUCCCAUGUCCCCUUGGUGCUGACGGGGCUCAAGACGCGCUGUGGCACCUGGUGACCUGAGAUUCAGAGCACAGCAGGGCCAGGAAGGCCACUCUAGUCCUCCCCUCAUCCCGCCCCCCUGAAGCAGCGACCUUCUCACGAAAGCUGAUUCCUGUGCCCAGCGGAAAGAAACAGCCUUAUCUCUGAAGACCUAAGGAUACAGGGACGCCGAGAAGAUUCCAACCAAACAGGCCUUGGUCCAUUCCCCUCCCCUGAUCAGCAUCAGAUUACUCUCUGUCCAAUCAAGAGUCUGUCACACUUCAUUCCCUAAACCUCCCACUCUGCACCAGACCUGAGCAUCCAAACACAGUGGCCUGCCUGCCUCUGCAGGCCCUCAUGUCACACAGCACUGAUACAAAACAAAUGUGUAUGCUUUUCUCUCACUGAUCUGUCUUUUGUUAUAAGGGCUCUAGCCAUGAACCUAGAAAUGGGUAAGAAAGGAGUUUUAUCUUUUUCCCAACCCCUACAAUUAUAAACAAUAAAACGACCUCUCAAG
rnacentral:lncRNA from 1 species